rnacentral:rRNA from 1 species
GAUGAACGCUAGCGGCAGGCUUAACACAUGCAAGUCGAGGGGCAGCGCGGGAUAGCAAUAUCCUGGCGGCGACCGGCGGAAGGGUGCGUAACGCGUGAGCGACAUGCCCGUUGCCCGGGGACAACCGGUGGAAACGCCGACUAAUCCCCGAUGGGAUACGAUGCUUCAUGGCAUUGUAUUGAAAGUUACGGCGGCGACGGAUUGGCUCGCGUCCGAUUAGCUGGUUGGCGGGGUAACGGCCCACCCAGGCUGCGAUCGGUAGGGGUUCUGCGAGGAAGGCCCCCCACAAUGGGACUGAGACACGGCCCAUACGCCUACGGGAGGCAGCAGUGAGGAAUAUUGGUCAAUGGGCGGAAGCCUGAACCAGCCAUGCCGCGUGCGGGAAGGAGGCCCUAUGGGCUGUGAACCGCUUUUGCCUGGGGGCAAUAAGGGCGUCGCGCACGUCCGAUGAGAGUACCAGGCGAAUAAGCAUCGGCUAACUCCGUG